UCUUCCUUGUGGAGCAACACUCUGUAAUCUGCACCUACUCCUUUUAAACGCAAGAACACACACUGAGGUUAAACGAUACACAACACAAGUGUGUGUUUGGUGUGUUCUGUUUUUUUUCUCUGUUUUUUUAUUUUUUUUUAUUUUAUGGAGAGGCACAAGUGCAAGCUUUGCUUAAGGAGUUUCGCCAAUGGAAGAGCUUUAGGAGGUCACAUGAGGUCUCACAUGAUGAACCUACCCGUUCCUCCCAAAGAGAGCGAGUUCGUUCCGGUUCAACUCAGUUUUGAGGCCGAGUCAUCGCCUUCUCAAUCCUCUUCUUCCUUCUACGGUCUCAGAGAGAAUCCCAAGAAAAGUUUCCGUUUUGCAGAUCCUGAAUUCUCGUUCGCAGCAGAAACGGGUUCCGUGAUCCUCCAAGAUAGAGAGAGCGAGACGGAGUCGUCCAAGAACCCGACUCGAAAACGAUCCAAGAGGGCGUGGCAACUCGGAGAACCCGUGAAAAAGAUGAAACUCUGUGGGAACAAUAACAAGAACGAAUCUGCGAGUUCUGCUUCCGAUACCACCGCGGAAGAAGCCGUAGCAUUUUGUCUAAUGAUGCUGUCUCGUGACAGAUGGAAGAAAUAUGAUGAUCAUAAAAACAUACAGCAGUAUGAUGAUGAUGAGGUUGAAGACGACGAUGAAGACGACGAUGAUGAUGAAGAAGAAGAAGAUGAAGAAGAGGAUGAUGAAGAAAAAAAUGGUUUUGAAUUGGAGGAGAUGAAAUCUGUUAAGAGGAGUAACAAGGUGCGUGGGAGGUACAAAUGCGAAACGUGUGACAAGGUGUUUCGAUCUUACCAAGCUCUUGGUGGGCACAGAGCGAGUCACAAGAAGAUGAAGUUAAACUCUGAAACGGAGUUUCAGAAACCCGAACCUGAACCAGAGCACGUUGCUGUGUCGGAGAAGAAAAUCCACGAAUGCCCGGUUUGCUCUAGAGUCUUCGGUUCGGGUCAAGCACUCGGUGGACACAAGAGAACACAUGUUAUAGGUUCUUCUGCAACUCACACCACUGCAACCGUAAGAACUUCUGCAACUGUUUCGGUUGGAGCUUCUGUCAGAGUUGGAGACAGUUUGAUAGAUCUUAAUCUCCCUGCUCCAGUAGAUGAUGAUGAAGACAUUAGCCAGUUCGAUCACUCUGCUCUUUCCGAUGCAGAGUUUGUCAAAGAGUGAAGAAGGCUUUUUCUUAGUUUGAACUUCUCUGAUUUUCUUUCCCUUUGACUAAUUAGACUCUGAUCCCAAGAAGGGUUGGAAGCAUGCGUGUUUUAGUGGGCUCUGUUUCAGCUUUCAAGCAAACACUACUUAAGUAAACUGAUAUACCAUUCAUUGCUUGUGAAUAUUAAAUAAACCAAGUCAUUGAUUCACACAGUGAGAUGAUCAAGCUGCAUAUUUUAAUGAUAGAAAAGUAACUUCCACUUCUGACCACCAGCAUUGCACAGUUGAGGAAGAGGAAUAUGUUUCUUUCGUUUUUUCUUUAUUUUACUCGUGAAGACAAUAAGGAUGUUCCAUGUUGCUCAUCUUUUAUCUUUUUUUUUUUCAUUUUUUCACAAAAUUGUUGUUGAGAAGAAGAAGAAGAAGAUAUUAGUAGGUGAAUAAGAAAGAAAGUUGAUGGGAGAAGUGAUUGAGUCAAUGAAUGUGGUUAUUUCAUUAAAUUUUGAUUGCCAUUUUUGGGAAAUCUGUAAAGGUGAUUUGAGAAAAGAGAAAAAGGAAGCAGAUCCCUUAUUUUAGUGUUGGCUGACAGAUUAAUUUGGCUUAGUUGGGCGUGACUCAAGGUAUCUAGCUGAGGCAGGCCUUUUGGUUCUUUAUGGUAAACUUUCAGUCACACUCAUUAAAUUUGUAAUAAAUGACAUAUCAUCCGUUUCAUGCAUUU